UGAGCUGAGAUCACGCCAAUGCACUCCAGCCUGGGCAACACAGUGAGACUCUGUCUCAAAAAAAAAAAAAAAAGGACCAAACAGAACUGUCUAGUAUGAGGUACAUGGCUCAGCAUCCCACUGGCAGGGCCAGGAGAGGCACCUGGAUCCUCUUUCUUUGCCAUUCCUGUGACCUGGGAUUCCCUCUGCUGGGGGCAUUGUGCUGCAUUGGCACUGCACAUGGUACACUGUUUCCAGCCUGCCCCCCGUCAGAGAGGUAGAGAAUCGGAACCCAUAGUGGCCAUUUCUGGCCGUCCAGAAGGGCGCUGGCCAUCUGCCCUUCAGAUUGUUUCCUUCCCUUCUCUACACAGUAGUCUCUUAUAGGAAGAGGCCCUUGCGCUCAGACUUCCUAUCCCUGCUCCCCCACCUGCACCAUCUCUUCUAAAAAAAAAUUCAGAUGCCGUAGGAGUGACCCCAUCCUGGACCGUUGUGAUGGCCCUGGUUCUCUGGGAGCUCCGUGGACCAACUCCUGUUCCUCUGUUGGGGCUGCAGUUCUCAGUGCUCUCCCAAGCCCGGACGGCUGGGGGUGCCCUUUGUCCAGCCCACCGCUGCUGUUUGGAUUCGUGUAGAGAGCUGGGCCUUCUGAACAGAGUGGGGACUGGGCCAAUACAUUUGCCUGUGCACCAGGCCAGUCCCAGCUGUUGGCAUCAAGUAGGAACCGGAAAGACAUCAGUGGAGGAUUAAGUGGGUGAGUAGCUCCUCAGCCCCGGGGGGUCCUGUUUAUUUUCCUCUGACCUGGAAAUUAGGGUCUCCCGAGAGACUCCUCUGUUUUCCAGCUCUGUCAGGCCAGGAAGAGGCUCUAGUCCAUCCCACCACCCGACCUUAUCCCAGGCCUGGAUGGUUCAUGGCCCUGGGCUACUCCAGAGAUGGUCUCAGGGCUCACUCCGUUGGCCCUGCCUGCUCUUAGCUCUGCACGUGGCAAACGCAGCCCUAAUGGGUCAUUCCAUCAGACUCCAUCGGGCCCAAAGCGGGAAAGCUGAGGAGGCUGGCUCCACCCAGAACAGGAGGCCACUGCCCUGCAGGUCAAAGGCUUACUGGCCUUUGGUGGGGAAGUUCAUUGAGAUGCCCAUCCACCCGGCUGCUGCUUUUUAGGGAAGCAUCAUCCUGGGGAAGUAAGCAAAGAAACAGUCUAAGGCUGGGUGCAUGGCUCAUGCCUGUAAUCCCAGCACUUUGGGAGGCCAAGGCAAGAGGAUUGCUUGAGCCCAGGAGUUUUGAGACCAGCUCAGGCAACAUAGGAGAAAGCAGCCCCCCAUGUCUCUGCAAAUAAAUUUUAAAAGUUAGCCAGACGUGGUGGUGCAUGGCUAUAGUCCCAACUACUCAGGAGGCUGAGGUAGGAGCAUCACAUGAGCCCAGGAAGUCAAGACUGCAGUGAGCCGUCAGGGCGCCACUACAGUCCAGCCUGGGUGACAGAGUGAGACCCUGUCUCAGAAACAAAGCAGUCUAAGCCAGAACUUGAGAAGUGCACACAAUUCCCUGAUUUUCUUAUAGCACAAGAUUUCAGAGUACCAACUCGGAUCUAUUUCCAAGAAAUGGAGGAAGUAUCACAGUGAGAAAACUCUUGGGGACCUUCACCCAAAGCCAGCCAUAGUGGAAGGCAAGAGAUAGAAUGCAGGUCCCAUUCUUCGCACUGUGAAGAUGAGCUGGGCAAGUUCGAAUGCUAAAAGGUCCUCUCCAUGAAGGCAAGAACUGAGCCCUUUCAUGGUUAUGUGCCCUGUGCCUGGUACACAGUAGGUGCUCGUCAAGCAUCUCCUGAAUGAACCAGUGUGUUGCACAUGGAGUCCUAACGCUCUUCAGCCUGGAUACGUUGCCGGCCGGACCUGGACUUUGCCUCGGGGUGGGCUCAGCUCUCUCUUCCCCCUGCCCCAGCCCCACCCAGUAGGGACUUACCUGCCUACAAUCAUGAGCUCCUUCUCAGAUGCCCGAGGCCGGAGGUGAUUCCAGAGGUCCAUGGUGAAGAUGGUGCUGGCACUGUUAAAGAUGGAGGUGAGGGAGGACAUGAGAGCCGCCACCAUCACAGCCAUCAUCAGCCCACGGAGCCCUGGGGGCGGAAGGGAGGUCAUGGGCCUCGGCCCUUUUCUGCCAAAGCAGCCGAUCCCAGUGGGCUCAACUGGAGGAGGCAGAACCUCAGGGAGGACGGCGGGGCAGAGCUUCCUGCAGGACUCAGCCUUUCAUGGGGGGCCUAGGGCCUGUUCCUCCCUCCAGCCCUCCCUUCUUGACCCUGCCUUGGAUCAGAGCCCAUCCAGUGAUCUCCUUUCUGGGUGCUCCAGGGGACUUGAUUCAGGGGUGAAGGGACUUUACCUGUGGGCAGGAGUUCCAGCACGAGUUUGGGAUACGCGAUGUCAGAACAGCCCGAGGGAUUGCUGCAGAUCUUCCGGCAGAUCUCUGGAUCUGCACAAGCCACUUGAUCUACGGAGGAAACACAGGCCCAGAGGUGAGCAGUCAGGCCCGCAGAGCCCCAGGCCCAGGCAACAUGGGGCCGGACACAGGCUUAUCAUAUGGAAGUUUAUAGCUCAAUGAGAUAAAAGAGAGUCUAGACUUUUAUAAGCUGUGACCUUGUUACUUAUGCUUUCUCAGACGAGUUGCCCUGUUUGUAAAACUAGGAUAAUAACAUGACUUUAUAGGAAGUGCUGGAAAAACUUCAGCUAUUGUUAUAACCCAGAUGAAGCUGGGACACCUAGUGGCUAGUGGCCAGUCUUACAAUAAUGUCUUUUUUUUUUUUUUUUUUUGAGACGGAGCCUCUUGCUGUGUCGCCCAGGCUGGA